rnacentral:sRNA from 1 species
UAGUCUUAAUUCGUGUUUUACUGUAUGGG